GAGAGCUUGCUUUUGAUUAUUUUAGCGGCGGACGGGUGAGUAACGUGUGGGUAACCUGCCUUUUACUGGGGAAUAAUCACUGGAAACGGUGACUAAUACCGCAUACGGUUCUUGGAAGGCAUCUUCUGAGAAAGAAAGGAUUUAUUCGGUAAAAGAUGGGCCCGCAUCUGAUUAGCUAGUUGGUGAGAUAACAGCCCACCAAGGCGACGAUCAGUAGCCGACCUGAGAGGGUGACCGGCCACAUUGGGACUGAGACACGGCCCAAACUCCUACGGGAGGCAGCAGUGGGGAAUAUUGCACAAUGGGCGAAAGCCUGAUGCAGCAACGCCGCGUGAAGGAAGACGGUUUUCGGAUUGUAAACUUCUAUCAAUAGGGGAGAAAAAAAUGACGGUACCUAAAUAAGAAGCCCCGGCUAACUACGUGCCAGCAGCCGCGGUAAUACGUAGGGGGCAAGCGUUAUCCGGAAUUACUGGGUGUAAAGGGAGAGUAGGCGGCAAGGUAAGCGAUAUGUGAAAGCCUUAGGCUUAACCUGAGGAUUGCAUAACGAACUAUCUAGCUAGAGUACAGGAGAGGAAAGCGGAAUUCUUAGUGUAGCGGUGAAAUGCGUAGAUAUUAGGAAGAACACCAGUGGCGAAGGCGGCUUUCUGGACUGAAACUGACGCUGAGGCUCGAAAGCGUGGGGAGCGAACAGGAUUAGAUACCCUGGUAGUCCACGCUGUAAACGAUGAGUGCUAGGUGUCGGGGAGGAAUCCUCGGUGCCGGAGCAAACGCAAUAAGCACUCCACCUGGGG
rnacentral:rRNA from 1 species